rnacentral:rRNA from 1 species
AGAGUUUGAUCAUGGCUCAGAACGAACGCUGGCGGCAGGCCUAACACAUGCAAGUCGAGCGCACCUUCGGGUGAGCGGCGGACGGGUUAGUAACGCGUGGGAACGUGCCCUUCUCUAAGGAAUAGCCACUGGAAACGGUGAGUAAUACCUUAUACGCCCUUCGGGGGAAAGAUUAAUCGGAGAAGGAUCGGCCCGCGUUAGAUUAGAUAGUUGGUGGGGUAACGGCCUACCAAGUCUACGAUCUAUAGCUGGUUUUAGAGGAUGAUCAGCAACACUGGGACUGAGACACGGCCCAGACUCCUACGGGAGGCAGCAGUGGGGAAUCUUGGACAAUGGGCGCAAGCCUGAUCCAGCCAUGCCGCGUGAGUGAUGAAGGCCUUAGGGUCGUAAAGCUCUUUCGCCAGGGAUGAUAAUGACAGUACCUGGUAAAGAAACCCCGGCUAACUCCGUGCCAGCAGCCGCGGUAAUACGGAGGGGGUUAGCGUUGUUCGGAAUUACUGGGCGUAAAGCGUACGUAGGCGGAUUAGUCAGUCAGAGGUGAAAUCCCAGGGCUCAACCCUGGAACUGCCUUUGAUACUGCUAGUCUUGAGUUCGAGAGAGGUGAGUGGAAAUUCCGAGUGUAGAGGUGAAAUUCGUAGAUAUUCGGAGGAACACCAGUGGCGAAGGCGGCUCACUGGCUCGAUACUGACGC